UAACUGCGAGUGAAGCGGGAAAAGCUCAAAUUUGAAAUCUGGCGGUCUCUGGCCGUCCGAGUUGUAAUCUAGAGAAGUAAUGCCCGCGCUGGACCGUGUACAAGUCUCCUGGAAUGGAGCGUCAUAGAGGGUGAGAAUCCCGUCUCUGACACGGACUACCAGGGCUUUGUGGUAUGCUCUCAAAGAGUCGAGUUGUUUGGGAAUGCAGCUCAAAAUGGGUGGUAAAUUCCAUCUAAAGCUAAAUAUUGGCGAGAGACCGAUAGCGAACAAGUACCGUGAGGGAAAGAUGAAAAGAACUUUGGAAAGAGAGUUAAACAGUACGUGAAAUUGCUGAAAGGGAAACGCUUGAAGUCAGUCGCGUUGGCCAGGGAUCAGCCUCGCUCUUGCGUGGUGUACUUCCUGGUUGACGGGUCAGCAUCAAUUCUGACCGCUGGAAAAAGGCCUGGGGAAUGUGGCAGCUUCGGCUGUGUUAUAGCCCCUGGUCACAUACGGCGGUUGGGAUUGAGGAACUCAGCACGCCGCAAGGCCGGGUUUCGACCACGUUCGUGCUUAGGAUGCUGGCAUAAUGGCUUUAAGCGACCCGUCUUGAAACACGGACCAAGGAGUCUAACAUGCCUGCGAGUGUUUGGGUGGAAAACCCGAGCGCGUAAUGAAAGUGAAAGUUGAGAUCCCUGUCGUGGGGAGCAUCGACGCCCGGACCAGAACUUUUGGGACGGAUCCGCGGUAGAGCAUGUAUGUUGGGACCCGAAAGAUGGUGAACUAUGCCUGAAUAGGGCGAAGCCAGAGGAAACUCUGGUGGAGGCUCGUAGCGAUUCUGACGUGCAAAUCGAUCGUCAAAUUUGGGUA
rnacentral:rRNA from 1 species